UGUGUGUUAUUUUAUUUUUACUCAUAAAAAUCACUUGUAUCCUUCUCAGGCUUAUUAAUGACACUUCUGAGGAAAGUGAUGUGCUUGACAUUUCCUGCACACCACAGGCGUCUUCAGUCACUUUGCAACUGAUCGUACAACAUUAAAGAUGUAUUGGAUUUUAUCACUUGAAGCAGCUUACAUUUCUUGACCUGCAAAAUCUAUAGCCAAAAAGCUCAAAUGUUGAUAUUGAAUCCUACGUCAGGGUAGCCUCAGAGGACUUUUCCAAAAGAAGAAUGAAGGACUUGGUGCAGCCCAUCUUGAAUAGCU